GGGGGUGUGGCUCAGUGGUAGAGCACUCGCCUAGCAGGUGCGAGGCCCUGGGUUUGAUCCUCAGCACCACAU
rnacentral:tRNA from 1 species